rnacentral:rRNA from 1 species
UAGGGAAUCUUCCACAAUGGACGCAAGUCUGAUGGAGCAACGCCGCGUGAGUGAAGAAGGUUUUCGGAUCGUAAAGCUCUGUUGUUGGUGAAGAAGGAUAGAGGCAGUAACUGGUCUUUAUUUGACGGUAAUCAACCAGAAAGUCACGGCUAACUACGUGCCAGCAGCCGCGGUAAUACGUAGGUGGCAAGCGUUGUCCGGAUUUAUUGGGCGUAAAGCGAGCGCAGGCGGAAUGAUAAGUCUGAUGUGAAAGCCCACGGCUCAACCGUGGAACUGCAUCGGAAACUGUCAUUCUUGAGUGCAGAAGAGGAGAGUGGAAUUCCAUGUGUAGCGGUGGAAUGCGUAGAUAUAUGGAAGAACACCAGUGGCGAAGGCGGCUCUCUGGUCUGCAACUGGCGCUGAGGCUCGAAAGCAUGGGUAGCGAACAGG